GACGAACGCUGGCGGCGUGCUUAACACAUGCAAGUCGAACGGAAAGGCCCUGCUUGCAGGGUACUCGAGUGGCGAACGGGUGAGUAACACGUGGGUGAUCUGCCCUGCACUUCGGGAUAAGCCUGGGAAACUGGGUCUAAUACCGGAUAGGAGCCAUUUUUAGUGUGAUGGUUGGAAAGUUUUUUCGGUGUAGGAUGAGCUCGCGGCCUAUCAGCUUGUUGGUGGGGUAAUGGCCUACCAAGGCGGCGACGGGUAGCCGGCCUGAGAGGGUGGACGGCCACACUGGGACUGAGGGAAGGCCCAGACGCCGACGGGAGGCAGCAGGGGGGAAUAUUGCACAAGGGGCGCAAGCCUGAUGCAGAGACGCCGCGGGGGGGAUGACGGCCUUCGGGUUGAAAACUCCUUUCGCUAGGGACGAAGCGUUUUGUGACGGUACCUAGAUAAGAAGCACCGGCUAACUACGUG
rnacentral:rRNA from 1 species